rnacentral:tmRNA from 1 species
GGGGGCGUAUUUGGUUUCGACGGGGAUUGUCGAGAAUUUGGGAAGCGAGCGGCGGCCCCUGCACCGCCUAACAACGGGGAAAAAAAUAACUGACGAAGAUAAUUUCGCUUUCGCGGCCUAAGGCCGCGCAUCGGCCCUGAGCUGCCCACGGCGCAGGUCACCGGUGUCAUUAAUGUGGGGAACGAGCCUGUCUAAGCUUUGCAGCAGGUCCGUAAUCAUGAAGCUACCAAAAUCCUGACCCUGUCUGCGGGGGCUGGAUCGAGGGAAUUCCAAAACACAGACUGCGCUCGGAGAUGCUCAGGUUCCCGGAUCUUCGGACAGGGGUUCGACCCCCCUCGCCUCCACCA